GGGGGCGAUCGGCUUCGACGGGUGGUCGAAGGCCGUCGCUGCGUGUCGAGGUCGUCACCUACCUCGUAAAACUGGUGGCACUAUUGGUAGUGAUAACUGCCGAUGACAACUACGCAAUCGCUGCCUAGCUAAUCCCUAGGUCAGUGACGCCCGUCCGCGACGUCUCCUAGCGGGCCGCGGGCGUCAUCAGGAGACUGGUCCCCGGUCGCUGGCAGACCGCAACCGGGGACGAGAACCAAGUCUGCCAAGGUGGGCGCUUCUCCUGCUUCCGUGACUGGCCCCACCGAGAUUGAGCGGAAGCUACACACGUAGACGCGGCGUCUGGGCGCCAUGCGGACGCGGGUUCGAUUCCCGCCGCCUCCACCA
rnacentral:tmRNA from 1 species